GGCCACCUGCAACUUUUCCCAACUUUACGUGUUUUGAAGGCUAAUUGAAUUGUUCAAUUGCAAUCUUAGGGUAACCAAUAGACGUGAGCGUUUACCUUCUUCUUCCAUCAAUCAUUUCUCAUCCAAUGAAUUUACAAACAUUCCAAUCCGCGUGGUUCCCCCAUCCUUACCUCGGAACUUCUAACGAAUCUUGGGAAAAACACAUUUUACGCAGAUUUGCUCGUCCGCCGUCAACCGCACAUAACCGAACUAAAUGUUUGUCGAAUAUAAAACAACAUCUCAGAAACUAUAUAGCGGUAUCAAUGUUUUAUUGAAUUUCUACAUUCUUUAUGUCUUUUCCCUCUGUGCUUUAUAUUUCAUGCGUCGAAGUCUCCGAAUGCUGCGAAACGUGCGGAGAAUGUUUCGGUGAGAAAAUAUUACUUCUACAUCGAAUGUGACAACAGUCGACAUCGAAUAUCAUCUGUAACACAUUCCAAAAGAAGACAAUCUCCUUCAUAAAGAAUGAAUUUGAAAAGUUGGUAAUCAUUUCCCAAAAUAUUAUGCCAGCGCCAUUUUAAGAAGCAUGAAUGUCUGUGACCAUAUAAACCAUAUAAACCAUAUAAAAAUACGAAUAGAUGAAGAAGUAUAAUGUAUCCGAACAACCCACAUCUUUAUUACAAAAUAAAAGGGAAAGGGAAGAUGUACAAGAAAGACAGCACGUUAUCGAAAAACAGUUGAUCAGAAAAGGAGGGCAAGAGCAAAAAGAACGACAUCAAUGCUACUACUAUCACUACCAACAGUAGCAAGAAGCGGUUGACGGUGGAGUAAAAUAAGAAGACGAAAUUGAAUUAUUUGUACCAAUUGCUAGACUAUACAAGAGUAACAUCAUGAUUCGCUGACAACGAGGAUUCAAUUGAAUGGCCAACAAUUGAAUCACGGACAAGCUGCGACUUUUAAAUUGAGGAAAGCCUAGGGAGGACUUUCCGAGAAAUAGAAUUGCAAGAUGAACAUGCUCAGCUGUUGAAAGAAAAUAAAAAUUUGGAAGCACGAAUAAAAUAUGUCAAAUAAAAUCUGAAAAGAAUCGAAAUGUCCAGAAAUCUAUUGCGUGUAAAGUUGAAGGCAUUGUAUGCCUUGAGGUGGAAUCAUUUAUGUAAGGUCAAAAUACAUGCUCAAGUUCGGAAAAGAAAAAGUUGCAAAAAGAUGGACCAAGAGACAGAAACAAAAAAAUAUA